GACCGUCGGCGAAGCGGCGCCGACGAAGGACCAAAUGGGGUCGAUAGC
ncrna:unclassified sequences gut-2 RNA